rnacentral:lncRNA from 10 species
GUCACCAGGCGGGCGACAUGACUGAUACAAAGUUGCUGCGACACAGCCUGGACUCGGCAGCUUCCUUAAAGCCGCAGCCGCGGCGGGAGCUUGGGGUGCCGGGCGGUGGCUACAUCAGGCGGCCUCCGCACGCUGCCCCCACCCCCAUCGCUCGGCCGCCCCAAACUUGCUUACGUCCACCCUGCUCUCCUUCUGACCGACCCCAGGAUAUCUGGAGAGAUGUGAAAAGUGUGCUGACGCGGAAGAAGUCGGUUUUUCCGCGAGCAAAGUGUCGUCCCCUCACGCUCUCCACCUGCAGCUCCAGGUAACACUCGUGAAGCAGCAAAAGAAGAUCCACGUUAUUCCAGAAAUUAAUGCCAGCGAAGUCAAUCGUGUACAUCAAGUUAGCACAAUUUCUUUCUGAUGGUCCUGAAAAUAUAGGGGGACUUGGAGUUAACACCUGUGAUGCAGAAACUAAUCUGCCAUUCAUUUGAUGUGCCAUGUUGGUCAAAUAUGUUAAGCCCACACUUCCUGACUUGUUCUUCAUGAAAUGGGAAUAAUGCAUUCAUUUAUUUAUUGAGCAUCUACUAUGUGCUAGGUACUCUUCUGGGAUUGGAGAAAUAGUAGCAAACAAACUAAAUUACCACCACCAUGGAGUUUACAUCCAAGUAGAGAAAGCAUACAAAAGCUACAUCUUGUCAUAUGGCAAAAGUGCUAUGGGGAAAAUUAAAGCAGAGUAAGCGGGGUGAGGGGGAGAGUAGGAGAUGGUGUACUAUUUUUUUUGAGUAGUCAAGGGAGAAUUCUGAAUAGGUAACAUUUGAGGGAAAACUUGAACAAAAUGAGGGAGGAAGCUAUGUAGAUAUCAGAAGAGAGUACGUGUCAAGAAAAAGAGAACACAUGUAAAAAAACCUGAAAAAUUAAUAAUUUCUUUUCGUCUACAUUAUAGGGUUGCUGUGAGGAUCAAAUGAAAUAAUAUAUGUGAUCUGUAUGUACGUACGUGUGUGUGUGUGUGUGUGUGUGUGUGUGUGUGUAUUUAGAGACAGGGUGUCACUCUGUUGCUCAGGCUGGAGUGCAGUAUUAUAAUCUUAACACACUGCAGCUCCAAACUUCUGGACUCAAACGAUCCUUCCACCUCAGCCCUCCUAGUAGCUGGGACUACAGGUAUGCACCACCAUACCCACUUAAUUUUUUAAUUGUUUAUAGAGACAGGGUCUUGCUAUAUUGCCCAGGCUGGUCUUGAACUCCUGGCUUCAAGCCAUCCUCCCACCUCCUCCUCCCAAAGUGCUGGGAUUAUAGGCAUGAGCCACCAUGCCUGGCCUGAUCUAUAUAUUUUUAAGCAUUGAAUUCAUUUUGCUGCUUUUGUGGUUACUAUUUUUAUAGCUCAUUGUUGCAAAGUGAACUCUUUUAUGUCUCAUUAAAAGAGAGAAAUUCUCUGACAGAGAACUUAAAGAAUGUGUACCAACUGGCUAUCAUCUUAAGGUUCAGUAGUGAAAAUACACUUUAUCUGUACUUUCAGAGCACUUAUAAAUUACUGGAAGAUGUGUGUGUAAAAUAGAGCACAGUAUAAGAGAAAAUAACACAAAGCAAGUGUCAAGUUGAUGCAGCAGUCUAGUGAAUCUUCUCUGAGAUUUGAGAAUUCAGUGAUUCUUAUGACAUAAGAGAUAGAUUUCUCUAUUUAGGAAUUCUUCUUACAUCAGAUUUUCCUCUCCCUGUCUCCUUCUCUUUCCUUUAUUUCUUGCUUUCCUGCCUUUUACAUGCACAUUUUGUGAUGGUUUAGAAGAAGAUCACAAACAGUAAAUGGUGGUUGAGAAAGAGGAACUUGUAACAUUGGCAUGAAUAUAGCUAAGAACACAUUUCUUAAUGUUAUAUUCAAACACUAUUAGGUAAUUACAUGACAAGUUAAGUGACAGGCAACUUUUAUAAUUUUCUCAGAUAAACAGGGAUGGGGAAGUCAUGGUUCUUUGCUUCUGUUCCUCUAAUAUUGGGGAACAGCUGACUUGAGUAUGGAAACAUUCUUGCCACCUAUUUGUAUUUGUUUUUUGGUUUGUUUUUGGUUUUGAGGCAAAGUCUCCCUCUAUCACCCAGGCUGGAGUGCAGUGGCACGAUCUCGGCUCACUGCAACCUCUGCCUCUGGGGUUCAAGAGAUUCUCCUGCCUGAGCCUCCUGAGUAGCUGGGAUUACAGGCGUGCACCACCACGCCUGGCAAAUCUUUGUAUUUUUAGUAGAGACAGGGUUUCCCUAUGUAGGCCAGGCUGGUCUUGAACUCCUGGCCUCAGGUAAUCUGCCUGCCUCAUUAUGGGAUUACAGGGAUGAGCCACCGUACCCGGGCUGUAUUUGUUUUAAUAUACAAGUGGAAUAAAUAUUCAAAAUCCUUUGUGAAGUAAGGCAGGGUGUAUAGAAACAUAUAAACAACACACUUUGGAAACAGGAAAACAGAACUGAAAGAAUGUUUAUAAAGGUGCACAAUGAAAGAGCAAUUCCACAGAGGGAUUGUUUAGAUUAGUGAAAUACUCAUGCCUGGGGUAAGUGACAUAAUGCAUGUUUGUGUAUAUGACUAUUAUGUAUUUAAAAUAUCAUUGAAAAUUAUAAAUAUAUUCCCCAUCCUUGACACUAACCCAUACCAAGAUCUGAAAAUC